rnacentral:rRNA from 1 species
CAAUAGCGUAUAUUAAAGUUGUUGCGGUUAAAAAGCUCGUAGUUGGAUUUCUGUUGAGGACGGCCGGUCCGCACUAUGUGCGUGUAUCUGGUUCGGCCUCGGCAUCCUCUCGAAAGCCGUUUCUGCGCUUGAUUGCGUGGUUCGGACUUCGGGACUUUUACUUUGAGGAAAUUAGAGUGUUCACGGCAGGCAAGCGCCUUGAAUAUAUUAGCAUGGAAUAAUAAUAUAGGAUCUUGGUCCUAUUUUGUUGGUUUCUAGGGCUAAGAUAAUGAUUAAUAGGGACAAUUGGGGGCAUUCGUAUUAACGCGUCAGAGGUGGAAUUCUUGGAUCGCGUUACGACGAACUACUGCGAAAGCAUUUGCCAAGGAUGUUUUCAUUGA